CAGCACUCAGGGUCUCCUCUAAGUGUUCUGCCAUGAAGGGAGUUGAAUUCUUCACUUGCUGGUCCACCUUCAAGCCCUUGAGCCCUGCUUCUACCUCUUCUACUGACAGCACAACUCCUGAAUGCGCUGAAACAUUGAGAAAAUCCAGAUUAAGCCAAGUAAGGGAGUAUGUGGUAGGAGUUCUCUGGGGCUAUCAUGAUGGUUAAAGUGAAAAUUUAUUUCACAGUUGAAGUGAGGUUGCCAGAAAAGGUUGAUGCCCUAAAUGACAAACUGAUAACCCUUAAAAUCACAGCUGCACAGUGGAAAUAAGGCCAUAACUAUGUACUCAGUACGAAAUGGCAUAAAUAAACCUUAAGUGUUACAAUGCUAGAAACGGGAGACCACUUGGGGUGUAAUGCUUUAAGACUUGAUAAGAUCUUUAAUGUGCAUCUUGCAGGAGGACCUCUCAUAAUAAGUCUUCUGGAGACUUGUUAUCAGGGACAAGAAUCCCAGAUAGCCUAACAUCAGUAAGGUUGCUACCUUCGCUAUGGUUAUUUUAUCAUUAAGGUUUUAUGUUGAGAGUGCAUAACAUAAGAAAAUGGCAGACUGGGGCAAAUGUGUGAGAAGCUGCCAAGUUAUGCCCAGGAGAACUAUAACAUUAGCUGGAAGUGUUAUGAUCAGGAUCCAGGUAAUAAGGAAGACUUGGAUGGAAAGUCUACUGACUACCAGAUUCUCAAAGAGGUGGUACUGUUUGAUAAAAAGUUUUUUGAAAAACAUUAAAUAGAACCCACUAUCUGACUUUUGAUGAAACAGCAGUAUGUUAGAACCAACUGCCUGAUAUCCACACUUUUCCAAAUGCCUAAAGCAGACUCUAAUAAACACUUACAGCUCUCCUUAAGCUUUUCUUUAUUUGCAGAAAGACUGGAAAGAAGAGGUUUUAAAUCCACUUUGGCUUUCUGUAGCAUUUCUAAAAUAUCCACUUUAUUUUCAGCAUGGUCUUCCAGUGGGAUAGGAGCAAAAUAAUUCCCCGAGUUCUGUCCAGGAGAGAGGAUGGCUUGUUCCAGACCUAAUAUUGCAAGUAAAUACAUUUAUAAUCAAUUAGUCCCAAUAAAACACAGAAACAGAUCUUCAACAGUAUUAAGAAGGCAUAAACUGAAGGGGUUUUUAAGUAUCCAGAGAGCCUUUAACCCUAAUGGACCCUAACUAAUGAAGACAGAAUGAACCAUUAUCAGAGAAAGCUCCAAUCUACAUUCAAGGUCAGAAUCUGAAGCCAUUUUACCUGCUAGUCUCUCCAGUUCUUCAUGUGGUGUUGACCCGAGACUGCUGGAUCGGCUUCCUGAUCGGCUCGGGUUAGAGAACCACCUACUGAACCGACUGGCAGAGACUGACCCUUCUCCCAAAACAUCUUCUAUCAUCUAAAGGGAAAGACAAAAGGAGCUAAGAUAACAGUUUCUAGGUGAAAGGGACAACAAGGUUCAAAUUUUAAGAAAAGGUCACUUACUUUGAAGCUUCCUUUGAUGCUGCUGACCUGAAGGUAAAUACUCUCAGAAAUUACGAUUUUCAACAUCUUUAAUUUUUCUUCCCCUCCAAGGUCAUUUGAGUAACCCAAAGGUAGGCGUUACUGAUCAUGUACUUUCUAAGCAUAUAACGAAAAAUCUCUUGCCAUAUAAUGUGUUUUGGAUUUCUAUCCUUUGCCUCAUCAGAAACUCCAUGAACUACUUAAUGUUCUCAGAGGACAUAGUUUCAAAAUCAAAAUUACCACAGUAAAGCAUUCCAUUGCCAAGCUGAUGAGUGGUCUUCAACUAAAUAUUAAGUAUAGAGAGAUGAUGACAGCCCUUACUUCAAACUUCAACUUUCUCAAGGCUGUAAUGAACAUCAGAAAAUUCAAUGGUGACAAUUUCGGAAGCCAAAAGCUAAAAAGUAGAGCUCACAGAGAUCAUAAUUGCAGUCAAAGUUUAGAAUGUGUCAGGAUGUGAAAGAUUAACUUUUAACUGUCCUCUAAUAUUGGUUUAUUUUUUUAAACGUUUAUUUAUUUUUGAGAGACAGCGCGCGAGCAGGGGAGGGGCAGAGAGAGAGGGAGACACAGAAUCCCAAGCAGGCUCCAAGCUCUGAGCUAUCAGCGCAGAGCCCGACGUGGGGUUCAAACUCCCAAACUGUGAUAUCAUGACCUGAGCUGAAGUCGGAAGCUUAACUGACUGAGCCACCCAGGUCCCCUUGUCGGCAUGAAUUUAAUAGGGAGUUUGCAGGUGUUUGUUUUCUUUUAACCCCAAUCUCAACAGUUUUCAGUUUAGUAAGAACAAUUAAAUGAUGCAUUAUAAUCAGAAAUAAUUUCUCAACACUAUUUCAUAAUAAUUUCCAUGAUCAAUCCUUCUUAAAAACUAGAUUGAAGCAUUAAAAAAAUGCAUAUUUUAAUUCUAUGCUAUCAUAAAUCCAGUUAAAUAUCCAAAUUGAUCUUUAUGCAGUGUUCUUAUCCAUAUUUAGAAAAGACAAGGUAAAGCAAAUGUCAAUCCAAAAAAUGAGGCACAUCCUUGAAAGUAAGGCAUAAACUUUCAUUUCUAUACCAAUGAUAAAGAGAAAACAGGUUUUCCCCAAAACUGGUACACGGAUGGCAAAGUUAGUGACUCUGUUUCAUCUAAGGCCUGGAACCCCCAAUUUCCAAAGUGCAGCAACAACAGGUUAGAUUCUUUUAUUCUCACCUGGGAGAAUUUCCUUAUAAUGUACCCAAACUAAGCCACAGAGUACUUCUCUUGAACACAAGAAUGAAGGAUUUUAACUCAUGACAUUUAUUAUUUGUGGCACUUCUAUUUUCUGAUUCAAUUUCAAUCACUUCACUUGUAAGACUUACACACCUUCAAUAUUAAUGCUGUCAAGUGUAAAUUUUUUGCAAUAAUUAAAAUAUAAGAGAAACAUUAUUAAAUAUUUUUUCACUGAAAAAUUGAAAAUUAUAUCUAAAGUAUAACCAUGUCAGUGACAAAUAGGAAUUAUUUUAAAACUAAAAGCUAUAGCCAUUAAAAAUGUUAUAAUGUUGAAGAGUUUGACAUUUUAUAAAUAGCAAAAAUCUCUUUGCAUUUUAAUCCUUUUAUUUCCUCUGACCAUAGUGUAUAGGAAAAAGGUCAGAAGAUACACAGGAAGAACAUGAAAAAGGACAUGAAUAUAAAGUAACUGGACAUUUUCUAAAGAUAUGACAGUAAGUGUUGAGAAAGUCAUUUCCUUCCAUACUUCGAUUAAUGACCAACUUUGUUUCUGUUAGAGUGGUUUUAUUAUAGCUAAAACAUAAAAAGUAGAAACAAAGUUACUCAUUCAAUUAACUUUUAUUUAUUAAGUAGGCUCCAUGCUCAAGGUGGGGCUUGAACUCAUGACCCUGAGAUGAGAGUCAUGUGCUCUACGGACCGAGCCAGCCAGGCACCCCUGACACUAAGUUACUCUUACACACAUUUAUUGGAAAUUCCACUUUCAGGAAAGUAAAGCAUUUUAAACCCCAAAGGAAUCCUGAGAGGAUUCAUCCAAGCAGUCAUUAUUACCACACAGCAAGCAAGGAUCUAGCAGUAGUUAGAUUUCCUGCACCUUGGUACAGGAAAUGGAGAGCUGCACCCACUGCUCUGACUUCUUGGUUAAGACAUCCUCUGUAAACAUUCUUGUCAGCUAUCAGCUGUUCAAGAAGAGGAGCCUAUAAAUGUAAUCUGGUAGGUUUCAUCUGCUCUUUCUAGAUUUUUAAUAACCUUUCAAAGUAACUUAUGACUGUUAGUCUGGUCCUUCAAACAAAAGUCAUUUGAUAAGUCUUAUCUUAGGAUUCGUAUUAUUCUGAUCAGAUACUGUAAAAUAUUUUCUUUGACAAUGACUAGUAAAUGAUUAACAUUUUUUUUUUUUUAUUAAAUUUUUUUUUCAACGUUUUUUAUUUAUUUUUGGGACAGCGAGAGACAGAGCAUGAACGGGGGAGGGGCAGAGAGAGAGGGAGACACAGAAUCAGAAACAGGCUCCAGGCUCUAAGCCAUCAGCCCAGAGCCCGACGCGGGGCUCGAACCCACGGACCGCGAGAUCGUGACCUGGCUGAAGUCGGAUGCUUAACUGACUGCGCCACCCAGGCGCCCCAACAUUUUUCUUUUAGUACCUUCCACUUUUAUGGAAAUUUCUAUAUUUUUGUAUUUGUUUCACUCUAGUUUGACUUUGGGGAUUUGCAAUUAAUGUACCUAAGGCUAUACCUUUUCUUCUGAGCAUACUUCUGAUCACACCACCAAGGGUUUUCUGUGUCAUGGUCCUUGUUCAUCACUCUAAAUCAUUUACGAUUUCCACUUUGAUUUCCUUUUUCUUCAUUCAACAUACAUAAGCACCUGUUACAUGUCAGGCCCUAUAGUAAUAGUUGCAUCAUAUCUAAAACAAACUUAUUUUUAAUUAUUUAACUGAAAUUACUUGCACAUGUGAUCCAAAUUUUCAGUUUGCAUAGAUUUUUAUGACUUUCAACUUCUAAUGUGAUGUAAUCCCAGUAAAUAUAGCCUACAAAUACAGGUAUAAUUCUAUUUUUAUCUAUUAAUACCUAACACUGGUAGAGCUUACUAAGUGCCAUGCACUACUUCAAGCACUUUAUAUAACACUUGUCAACUGAUGCUCAAAUCCUAUAUAGUUCUUAUUUUUCCGAAUUGGUCAUUUAAUGAGCAAAUAUUAGAGUUAUACAGCAUAAUCAGUAUUUUUAACUGAUCCCAGUUUUGCUUUUAAGUGAACCUAUAGAAUAUACACCCUAAUGAGCAGGACUUUCAUGAAAAACAUGGAGACCUCUUAGCCUAGUAGCAACUACUGCUCAGCUUUAGCCAAAUUUUGGUUGAGGGUGAGGGCCAAAUAUAGUGUGAAGUUCCUAUUCCUCCUUUUAUACUUUAGAGGCAGUCUAAUAGUUAUGGUGAACUGAAAACAAAGACUCUUAACUGAAACUGCAUGAAUCAAAAUUCAGUUUCUACCACUUACUACAUGUGUGACUUUGGGCAAGUUAUUUAAACCUGUGCCUGUUUCCUCGUCUGUAAAAUGGAAACUGUGGUAAUUAAUUUAUAAGGGUUUUGUGAGUAUUAAAUGACUUAUUGUAUGUAAAGCCUAUAACAAUCAGCACUCUAUGCGUGUUACCUAUUAUCAGGUUUAGUUUUGGAUUCUUCUUCUACGUAGGCACACGCGUUAAGCUUCACAGGUGCUCACGUUUGGAGCCAUAAUACGCCUAUAAAUUUUUACCUUUUGCUGUGAAAACUUUUUAUAGUAAGAUUUCCACCUAAGAGAGUGAAGGGGGGGGGGAUGGGGAAGCCACUAACAUCCCCUCAAAAGCUAAGAAUUUUACACCAAAAAAAUUAAGCUCACAUCUGAAUGCAACAUCUCUGCUCACAGUGAGCCAAAGGACUACUACUGACUGGCUGACUGUAAGUGAGAACCAAACACACAGUUACCUGAAGAGUGCUCUAGACAAGUGUGUUCUUGGACCACAUGGAGGUAAGUUGAGAGAAUGAAAGUAAAUGCUUAGAAACUGCAGCAAUUUGGCACUGCUGUGACUUUUGUACUUUAUACUCAAGUAUUGGUUCUCAAUGGACUGAAAAUAGAACCUGGCCCCUCACCACAGAGAAUUUAAGAGGUACUGCCCUAGAACUCACCUGCAGCCCCAUACCUAUUAGUGCUAGGCAGUGUCUGCUCACCUGUUCCAGGUGGCCAUCUUUUGAGGACUGGGACCACAAAUGACAAAGGAGACAAGCCAAUAUUCUUGGGUUCUGUCACACCCAGUUCUCUCUGCUCACGGGAUAAUCAAAUAAGGAGCCAUCAUAGUUAGGAAGUACAGUCAUUUAAAUUCCAUGAAUCACCAAUUUUAAAGGACAGGUCAAAUGUAUUUGCUAUUGUAAAUGGGACCUCUAGAACAUACAGAUGCUUUUGGGCAAAUGUUUUUAAAAUUCUGUUUCAUCAUGGUUCUCUGCACUCUUUCAACAACCACAGAACAACUUCAUUUCUGUGUGCACAGGUCAGAGUGCUAUCUUUUCUCCAAUUUGUUGAGGCUAUAGUAAUCCCUAAAUGACCAAAGGGGCGAGGAGCAAAGGCAGCAGCAAGUGAGGAUUUGGGAUGCUUACUGAUUCUACUUUGAAAGUUGAGAAAAACUGGACCUCAGUAGUUUAACAGCAACACUGAAAGUAUUCCAAGCUGCUUUUCAUUGAAGAUUUUCAGAACCAUCACACCACAAAGUUAUCACCUAACAAGUCAACCUUACCCAAGGAAUGUACAUCAGCAUGAUACUAAUCACCAAUUAUAAAAAUCCACCUCUGCAGCAAGUCUAACAAACACUUAACUACCUAAAAAUAAAAGCAAUGUUCUUAACAUCUAAAGAUUUCUUACUUCAAUGCUACCAGACUAGAAAAAGAGGUAAGUGGUACAGAAUUCUCAACUUGGUCAUUUCCACUCAGACUCCCAAAACAAAGCCACAAAAACUCAAAUAAUAUUUAAGAAUAAAAGCCAAAAUCCCCAAAACAUCUACCAAAACAAUACUUUAAAAAGAGGUAUCUGAGAUACUUAGGUCAAAUUUAACCAUACAGUUGCUCCAUCUCAUUUAUAAGCGUGCUGCUACACUCACCGAAGCCAAGCAUGGCACCUUAUCAAGGUUAAAGAACUCAUUAAAGUCAAAUUCUCCUGGGGACUGCUCAGGCAAGACGGCGUCCCUUGGCACUUCCUGAUCAGCAGCAGGCUCCUGUGCCAGGAUGACCUCCACCUCAUCCUCUUCGGCCACUCCUCCAUUGCACUCGACUAUGCCUGAAAGCAAAACCAGGACAAAAACAGACUUGAUCAAGUGAACUGCUCUAGACUUAUUCUGUGGCCUCAGCCAUCAUCACACAUGCAAAAGAGCCAUAGCUAACUUUAAAGACAGACCUUAGGUGCCGAUAUAGUAUUUACAACAGUAAAACCAUUCGCUUCCUAUGGGAGCUAGGAAAAAAGCCCUAGUAACAAGCCAGAACACCAACACAAUGCAGGAAAGAUUAUGGUCCCUCCACCACCCAUUCUUCAAGUUUUCCGUAAUGCAGCAGGUUCUAUUUCUAAUGGCAUUUUUUUUUUAAAGAUAGUUUUUUCAAGUCUCUUGCUGCUUAAAAAUGGAACCAAAUUAAUUUGGCUCUGCCUUCACCCAUGUAAUCUAUACCACUGCUUUAAGUCAGGGUUCAACAAUCUAAGGUAUUUAUGUGAAAUCUGGCAUGAGGGCAAUUUUCACUUGCCUACAGGUUGGUUGUAGCUCAUCCUUCAAGGCAAACCUCAAAUGGUACCUCUUCUGGGAAGGCUGACCUGCCUACCUAUAUUUACCCUGCCCAGAAAAAUUAAUCACUGCCUUCUCUAUAAUCCUUGUGUUGUCUCUCAAAGUGUCUACUGAUACCGACCUUCCUGAAGGCAGGUAAUCUGCUCUAAUCAGUUUCGUCUUACUCUCAAGUGCCUGGUAUAUCUAAAACUUAGUAUUGUUCGAUUGUCGUUAUUAGGAUAAGAAGGUAGGGUCUAAAUGAAACUACCAAGUGUUAACAUUUGAGGAAUCUAGUAUCUUCGUUUUAGCUGGGAUAUGGGCAAAAGGCAAAAUACUUAGGAUAAAAAAUUUUUCUUCUUUUAAAGAAGUGCCCUGAGAUAUACUAGACAUUCAACUUUUUAAAAAAUGUUUAUUUACUUAUUUUGAGAAAGAGAGCAUGAGUGGAGUAGGGGCAGAGAGAGGGGGAGAGAGAGAGAAUCCCAAGUAGGCUCCAUGCUGCCAGUGCAGAGCCCAAUGUGGGGCUCAAUCUCACCAACUGUGAGAUCAUGACCUGAGCCAAAAUGAGUCAGAUGCUUAACCAACUGAGCCACCCAGGUGCCCCUAGACAUUCAAAUUUUUUUUUUUUUAACAUUUAUUUUUGAGACACAGAGACAGAGCACGAGCAGGGGAGGGGCAGAGAGAGAGGGAGACACAGAAUGUGAAGCAGGCUCCAAGCUCUCAGCUGUCUGCACAGAGCCCGAAGUGGGGCUCAGACUCACGAACCAUGAGAUCAUGACCUGAGCCAAAGUCAGACGCUUAACCGACUGAGCCACCCAAGCGCCCCAUCAAACUUUUUAGUUUGAAGGACAGAACUCCCAAAGCCCCAUGCUGCAAAAGUACCAAUGUAAGAACUGCCUGUACUUUCAAGAUCUACAGCAGACACGAAGCCUUCCCGUUAAAAAAAAAAGCGCCAAAUCUUGGACCCAUCCCUUCUCAAAAGUCCCUAAUAGUUACCUCAGUCUUGUUAUUAAUCAGACCAAGAGACACUAAAUGCCAUCAGCUGCUUUCAUUCCAGUAAUGCUUCAAACACUGCACAGCAAAGCAGGGAAUUCAAUAACUAAAGGGUUAAGUGGCUUGCUUACCCAAGGUCUCAAUACUAGCCAAGUGGCAGAAGCUUUAACCCUAAGAUGGCCACCGAUACUCUUCCACACCAAGCUCUGAGUAUUACAGCAGCACUGCUCCUCCACAGGGGUGGCUGCCAUCUAACUACCGUGAGCCUUCUGACAACCAGUGAAACAGACAAGGUUUGUGAGCCAUCGAUAAAGCAAUCAGCAGUCUCUCCAGUGGGUUAGAACAUACUUACUGAAAAGAGAAGCAAAUACUAUCCCUUAGAAACUGACAUUUAAACUAAAAUGACUAUUUGGUGGAGGUAUCCUCACUUUACAAAGAAAAUGGGCCCUAGAAGAAUUAACAAUAGCCUAAUCAAUGCCCAGUUUGUGUCCUUUUCCAUUAGAGCAGUGCUUCUGCCUGAUCCAUUUUACUAAGCAGAACCUGCCAGCCCACCUCAGGAUCGACAAGUGAUAAUACAUUUUGCUGUAGUUUUGGGUCCCAACUUAAGGAUGAAAGCCAGAAACAAGAGUCUGUACUUGGUUCAUACAUUUACAAAAGAAAUUUUAAUAUUUCUCCUAUGCCUUUUAUUUUGUGUUGAGAUGAGAAGAUCUCUUAACAGAUAAAUAGCUUUUGCAGAUAACAAGAAUGUUCCACAUGCAAUUUUAUGCCAGUGUCAAGGUUUCUGGAAAGCAGACAGGGUCUGUCAACUGAGAGUGGGUAUGAGUGGGUAGGGAUAUGCAUUAGUAGACAAACACAACUGGCCAUUUAUCAUGGUAGACUCAAAAGGCAGAGGCCCAGAAAAGAUAACUAGGGGCAAGUUUUACCACAUUCAGAAGGACCACAUACUUUCAUUAGAGAGAAAAACUGAAAUUUUCUUUUCUAUCAAUGGGGGGAUUUAGCUAUUUCUGACUUCUACAUAAUUUAUUUUUUGGUUACAGGUGUAAUGCACAUUCAAAUUGUUUCGUUAAUAUUACCAUAUAUGCAUCACCUAACUGUCUAGAGUGAGUACUCAAUACACAUCAAUUUUAAAAUCAUACAGGCAGUGAACAUGUUUGUCCUAUUAACUGCUACACUGCCAGCACUAGUAUGUGCCUGCAGAGAACUGCUACAUAAAAAAUUCAGGGGGGGGGGCCUGGGUGGCUCAGUCAGUUAAGUGUCUGACUCUUGAUUUCAGCUCAGGUCAUGAACUCACAGUUGUUGAGGUGGGCUCCCCACUCAGCAUGGAGCCUGCUUGGGGUUCUCUCUCCCCCUCUCUCUUUGCCCUCUCCGCUUGUGUGUGCAUAUGCACGUGCUCUCUCAAAAUAAACAUUAAACAAAAAUUCAGGGUAAAGUUAGAAUACAAAUAAAAACUGGACUAAAAGGCACUCAUCAUCCCUCCUCUCAUUUUUGUAGCCAAGAUGAAAUUAUGGGGUACCUGUUUAUCCUAAAUACAGUGGUUAGGACAGCCUAGGGACCACUGGCAAUUAACUACUGGGAUGAGUGAGCUAGGACUCCCGGAUUCCACAUGGGGCUCUGCCAUGAAAUCCAUGUGACAGGGUCUUGGGUUGUCCCCUCUUCCAGGCCUGUCUCUCUCUGUAUCUAUAAAGUAAGGAGGUGAUACUCUCACUCCUUUUGUUCAUCCACUUGUUGAUACAAGAAUGGUUGAAAUUCACAUUGCAGUUGAGUUAUGAAAACAUGUGCUUCUUUUCACCAGAAGCCUUAUCUUUAUCAUUAUGUGAAAAGACCACACUGGGCUGGUGCUCGUUAGCCUGAGAAUGACACAAAGCCAUGUCUCAAAGGUUAUUUAAGAGCAAAGCUUUACAAUUUACCCACUGAUGUCAUGCAUCACUCUAGGGAACAACAUGUAACAGCAUAAAGAUAAUGGUAAUGUCUACUGUAUUUUAAAGAUAUUACAAAAAAAAAAAAAGACAAGUGAUUUCUCCCUUUCCUUUCUCUUAAAUUCCACUAGCUCAUUUUCUACGCAAAUAUAUCUUAGCCUUAUAAUUUUAAGGUGGCACUACACAUUUAUGUAUCAAAAUAGCUUUCUUUCUUUCUUUUUUUUUAAGUAAUCUCUACACCCAAUGUGGGGCCUAAACUCAUAAUCCUGAGAUCAUGAGUGGCACACUUUACCAACUAAGCCAGCCAGGCACUUCUAAAAUAGCUUUCCACUUUUGUUGCCUAGUAGCUGCCAAAAGGUAUUUUCCAACCAAACGUGAAGGCUGAAGAGAACUGGAAUUUACUGAAGAAGUGCCCACAAGAGGCUGAGCUCUGAUGUUCACAUUCAAUCUUUAAUGCUAAGAGUAACCCUUAAAAUUAUAGAGUAGGCAGUCUUCACCUUACAAAGAAACAAGUCCGCCUAUAAAGAGUUUUAUCAAAGAUUAUCCUUUUUGUAAGCAACUGCCCCAAUACUCAAAUCCAGGCUAGCCGGCCUGGCCACCUCAAAGCCAGGCUACUGGAAAAUGACUAAUGGGACCCCCCAACUCUGCACCAGGCACCUCUCACACUGUUAACUCUGGCUUUUCAGUUUAGUAUGGGAGCUACCUGACCUUAUCUCAUAGUUGACUGAGUCUGGGAGAAGCCAAGUCAGAAACAAUUGAUGUAGGAAGUCUAACAGUAUGGUGAAGAAGGUGGGCUCUGAAGUACAAAAGAAGUUGCUCAAUUCCCAAUUUCACUACUUACUUCGUUAGUGUCCACAGACAAGUCACUCAAGCCUUCUGUGCCUCCAUUUGCUCAUCCACAAGAUGGGGAAAGAAGUACCUACCUCAUAGGGUUGUUAGAAGUAGGAUUACACAGACAAAACACUUAUCACUGGGUCUAGUGCUCAAUGAAUCAAACUCCUCCACUAUUUUUUACCACAUUUCUUAUCUCUGGGGAACCCUUUUAUGUACACAGUACUCUUACAGGGGAAUGUGAGACUUUUCUGUUUAGCACCACAGGCAGAACAAGUUGAGGAUAUAGUAUCCACACCUAAUAAAUUCAAACUUAGCAGCUUCAAAAUCAGGCUGCAAUGUUAGAAACUUGCUACUUCCUUGCAAUGGGUACAGUUGUUCCUAAGUGCACAUUCAGGCCAAUUACAAGCACAUCUCAUUUUAGAACAGUGAGCUCCCCUCUCAAAGUUUUUGCUGACCUUCCUUCACAGAGGUUGUCCGUCGUCUUGUUCUUUUUCUCCCCUUGUGAUCUUCUUCCAGUAUCUUAUCAUCAAAGCCAGUCAGCUCAAUGGUUUCAGACUGACUUGUGGGUCCAGCUGAGAACCAUUCUGGUUCUUCUUCUGUGUAGGAAUCAUUUCUUCUUCGCUCACCAAAGACACGUUUACUAUCCCCAAACUCCCUCUGGAAAAGUACACAAUCAAGAUAAAAAAAAUAAGGUUCUAGUUAAGGCAUUUCUACCUCAGUCAAGGUCUUGAUGAAUUAGUUAAUGCUCAAUAAUGUAAUGAAGAUACUAUGCUGCAGACUUGAAGCACCCCCACCCCCACCCCACCCCACCUCCAGCACUCUUUCUGCUCCUCUCUAUCUGGCUUAAGAAUGGGCUCUGUUGGCGCCUGGGUGGCGCAGUCGGUUAAGCGUCCGACUUCAGCCAGGUCACGAUCUUGCGGUCCGUGAGUUCGAGCCCCGCGUCGGGCUCUGGGCUGAUGGCUUGGAGCCUGGAGCCUGUUUCUGAUUCUGUGUCUCCCUCUCUCUCUGCCCCUCGCCCGUUCAUGCUCUGUCUCUCUCUGUCCCAAAAAUAAAUAAACGUUGAAAAAAAAAAAAAAGAAUGGGCUCUGUUCAUCCAGCAUCUCAAAAUAACCUGGUAUAAACAAACUGCAUAUCAAGUCCCUAAGCACAUGAGGGGCCAGAGGAUCUAGAAGACAAACCCUAAAUCGCUUGUCCUUAUAGUCCCUCUCUCGAUCUCGGUCUCUCAAGUCCCGCAGGUCCUUAUCACUGAGUCGGUGAUCCUUCUCAAAGGUCCGAGCAGAGAUUAUUCUUCCACUGCCAAUCCUUCGUCCGCCAAGCAGGCGAAGCCCAUCACUGUCUUUUUCCAAUGGACUUCCUGAGUGCCGGGAACUAACAGCGGCUGUCACAUGGCAGCCCCCUCCAAAGCUUCGUCUCUGUGGGCUGAGAACAACAUCUAAGUCAUCUUCUUUCACACGCUCUCGUGGAUCUGGAAAGGUGGCAGAAAGGGAAAGUUAAGCAAACCAGUAGGGUAUUUUUAUUUUCUCACUGGUAUGUCCAUGACUAGUGG
rnacentral:lncRNA from 1 species